rnacentral:rRNA from 1 species
UGAAAUGUUGACCUCGGA